UCCGAAUUGGUGUAGUGGCUAACAUUUGACGCUCUCAACUUCAUCUUGCUGAUGCAGAACAGUACCGUCAAGCCCGGGGUUCGAUUCCCCGAUUCGGAG